ensembl:snoRNA
AUCAAAUAACAGAAAUUUCUUCACUUUGACCUGAUAGUAGGUGAAGAGAAAUAGUGUCUGAGU